rnacentral:lncRNA from 1 species
GGUUUAUUUAAGCAAACUUGAAAUAAUUUGGACACGGGUUGUGCACGACUCAUUGGGGUUUAUUAUUUUUUUUGAUGUUGUGUCUGAAAAUGUAUUUGUGUUUUGAAAAUGUUUUAAUACACAUAUGGAACCUUAUGUAUGUUGCCUUGGUGGAGUCAUUGAUUAUUUCAAUUUAAUGCAUGGGAUAGUUUAUCCUGAUUCAAUAACAGAAACCUUUAAUAAUUUAAUCUGAAGUUAAUACCCUAUUGUCAUAACCCUAGAUAGUUUACAAUAGGAAUUCUUAUUGGCGAUGUCCUUCUCACCUAACAUCCCAUGCUGUUGAGAUACUCUACAUAAGUUAAUAUUGUGAGAGUCAUAUUCGACCCUGGUGAGAGGGUUACACAGUCAUUUCAAUGGGCAUAGUUACAGUGCCACAACACUGAAAUGCAGCAACCCAAAAUGAUAUCAGUUAUGUUAAUUGAUGCAUUAUAAAGUAUGUUUAUUUAGUUGACCAAUCAAGUUCAAAUUACUAUUUUUUUCAUAUCCACUUCUAAAAUGCAUUGCCAAAACAUUCUCUACAUGCCGUUUGAGAAUAGGUUUAAAGGGUUUAGAUAUAUUAUGUUCUAUAUGGCUUCAUGUGUUACUGGAUUCUAGAUGCAAGCCAUAACCGGUGUGUUUUUACUAUUCAUCUCAGUCUAAACAUUCAUUUGUGUUUUUCAGGUGUUCUGUGUCAAAAAGGGGAAGUCUUGAUUCCCAGCAGUAUAGAGGCUCUGAGUGGAUCUUGUGUGCUCAUUCCAUGUAGAUUUACAUUGGAGCCUAAAUAUGAGUCAUCCCUCUCUCAUCCAUGUAAAGGAACAUGGAACAGAAGAUUCGUGAAACCAGUGUUAAUGGCACCCACAAGAGAUUACUUGCUUGAGAAGGACUGCACCAGUAUCCUGAACAUCCCUUAUCCCAAUUCCUACCUAUCCCAAUAUUUAUUCAACCUUGACAAAAGUCUUCCAUCUGUGUUUUUAUUUCUGGUGGUUGAGGUUAGUUACUGUGUUCACAUGUUUAUGCAGGUGGUUAAUUAAGUGGAGGAAUGAAUAAUUGGGUGGAGAGUGUCUAAGUUCUUGUCACUAAAUUCAGGAAUACAACUUCAGCAAAAAUUACACAAAUGCUACUCAAUAAAAUGUCAUGCUUUAGAAUAUGCCAUUUCUUUGUGCCAUGUCAGUUACAGUAAUACAUUGAUGUAGCUUGUGUUAUAAACUAUAUUACAUCCUUAUCUCCUGAAGACACUCCUCCCCAACCCACUCUAAUCCCAGCUACAGUGAAUGUGAAUGAGGGGGAAUCAGUGAGUAUGAUCUGCUCUACUGUAGCCCCCUGUCCCAUUCUCCUUCCAACUCUGACAUGGAUCCCGACUGGGUGACAGUGUGGAGAAGAAAAAACAAGAGAAGGGACCAAACUGAAGUCAAGAGUUCUACUCUGACCAUCUACUGCAUCAUACCUCCAUCAUGGACAGACAAUCUCCUGCACUCCUCUCAACAAACGAGAAGCUAGCAACAGUGAUGUAUCGUUGGAGAAAAGUCUCACAAUCACUGUUCGAUUUAUGUCCAAUUGUUAUUCUGGUUAUAAUGGAAUAAGUUAGGCCAUGUUUGUGUUGAUAGUAAAUCAUUAUGUUUUUCUUUUCCCCAGACCCUCCCAAGUACACCUCAACGUCAGUCCGUCCCUCUGGUUCAGUGGUAGAGGGCAGCUCUGUGACUCUGACCUGCAGCAGCAAUGCCAACCAAGCAGUGAAGACCUACAACUGGUACAGAGUCAAUGGAAAACAGUUCACAUCAACGGGGUCUAAAAGAGUUUGUACAAUCCAGGUGUCUGCAGACAACAGCCAGUUCUACUGUGAGGCCAGCAAUUAUCUUGGAUUACAGAAGUCUACUAUCAUUCAACUAGACCCCCCAGGAAUACAUUAGCAUCAGUCAGUCACUCUAGUUCAGCGGUAGAGGGCAGCUCUGUGACUCUGACUUGUAGUAGCAAUGCCAACCCACCAAUGAAGACCUACACCUACUACAGAGUCAAUGAGAGUAAGAUGGACCCAAUGGAGUCUAGAUCUCAGUUUCUGGUCCUGCAGGAUAUCAGUGAGAGUUCUGUUCUGCUGUGAAGCACAAAAUAGCUAUGGCAAAGAUAGGUCCAACUUCCUUGUGUAUCUGCACCACUGCACCUCCACAACUACAGGUAGGCAUACUGCUGUAACAAUGAGAAUGUACUUUAUUUCCAUCAUAGACUAAACAGAUUAUUGUGUAUAAUUAAAUUAAUUAACAUUAAAUUAAUUACAUUUUAAGCAAUUUUACAAAUUAAUGAUUAUGCUAUUACCUGUAUACAUUCGUUAUAAAGACUAUUGGUAAACAUACAAAAAGUAUAAAGACUGGAUUUGGUAACUAACAAAGUAAAUCAAACAUGUCUUGUAGCUCAAAUAUCAGUUCCAUCCAUAAUCUGUGGAGUGGUCAUUGUCCUGUGGAUUCUAUAAAUAUAAACAUAUCAGGUAAAAUGGACUUACUGUAAUUGCUAAGCAAGUAGAAUCUUGUAUUUCAUUAUUUCAUGGACAUUCUUCAGAAAUAGUCUUAUAUAUAAUCUUGGUUAUCCCAGAACUAAAAUCUAGCGUAAUUUGGUCAUUGGUAGUCUGUCAGUGAGAAAUUAAUAUACUGCUAAAAAAAAAUAAAGGGAACACCUAAACAACACAUCCUAGAUCUGAAUGAAAGAAAUAAUCUUAUUAAAUACUUUUUUCUUUACAUAGUUGAAUGUGCUGACAACAAAAUCACACAAAAAGAAUCAAUGGAAAUCCAAUUUAUAAACCCAUGGAGGUCUGGAUUUGG